AGAGUUUGAUCCUGGCUCAGGACGAACGCUGGCGGCGUGCUUAACACAUGCAAGUCGAACGGUGACAUCGGUGCUUGCACCGGUUGAUCAGUGGCGAACGGGUGAGUAACACGUGAGCAACCUGCCCCUGACUCUGGGAUAACUUCGGGAAACCGGAGCUAAUACCGGAUAUGAACUCUGACGGCAUCUUCAGGGUUGGAAAUAACUUCGGUCAGGGAUGGCUCGCGGCCUAUCAGCUUGUUGGUGGGGUAACGGCCCACCAAGGCGACGACGGGUAGCCGGCCUGAGAGGGCGACCGGCCACACUGGGACUGAGACACGGCCCAGACUCCUGCGGGAGGCAGCAGUGGGGAAUAUUGCACAAUGGGCGAAAGCCUGAUGCAGCGACGCCGCGUGAGGGAUGAAGGCCUUCGGGUUGUAAACCUCUUUCAGCAGGGAAGAAGCGAAAGUGACGGUACCUGCAGAAGAAGCACCGGCUAACUACGUGUCAGCAGCCGCGGUAAUACGUAGGGUGCAAGCGUUGUCCGGAAUUAUUGGGCGUAAAGAGCUCGUAGGCGGUCUGUCGCGUCUGCUGUGAAAACUCGGGGCUCAACCCCGGGCCUGCAGUGGGUACGGGCAGACUAGAGUGCGGUAGGGGAGACUGGAAUUCCUGGUGUAGCGGUGAAAUGCGCAGAUAUCAGGAGGAACACCGGUGGCGAAGGCGGGUCUCUGGGCCGUAACUGACGCUGAGGAGCGAAAGCAUGGGGAGCGAGCAGGAUUAGAUACCCUGGUAGUCCAUGCCGUAAACGUUGGGCGCUAGGUGUGGGGCUCAUUCCACGAGUUCCGUGCCGCAGCAAACGCAUUAAGCGCCCCGCCUGGGGAGUACGGCCGCAAGGCUAAAACUCAAAGGAAUUGACGGGGCCCCGCACAAGCGGCGGAGCAUGCGGAUUAAUUCGAUGCAACGCGAAGAACCUUACCAAGGCUUGACAUGCAGGGAAAACUCGUAGAGAUAUGAGGUCCGUAAGGGUCCUGCACAGGUGGUGCAUGGUUGUCGUCAGCUCGUGUCGUGAGAUGUUGGGUUAAGUCCCGCAACGAGCGCAACCCUCGUCUUAUGUUGCCAGCGGGUAAUGCCGGGGACUCAUAAGAGACUGCCGGGGUCAACUCGGAGGAAGGUGGGGAUGACGUCAAAUCAUCAUGCCCCUUAAGUCUUGGGCUUCACGCAUGCUACAAUGGCUGGUACAAAGGGCUGCGAGACCGCAAGGUGGAGCGAAUCCCAAAAAGCCAGUCUCAGUUCGGAUUGGGGUCUGCAACUCGACCCCAUGAAGUCGGAGUCGCUAGUAAUCGCAGAUCAGCAACGCUGCGGUGAAUACGUUCCCGGGGCUUGUACACACCGCCCGUCACGUCAUGAAAGUCGGUAACACCCGAAGCCAGUGGCCCAACCCUUGUGGAGGGAGCUGUCGAAGGUGGGACUGGCGAUUAGGACGAAGUCGUAACAAGGUA
rnacentral:rRNA from 1 species